GUUUUUAUAGUAUAUAUAAUUAUAUAGCUUUUUCAUGGCUAAGAAGAGGAUUUCUAAAAAUA
rnacentral:tRNA from 1 species